rnacentral:misc_RNA from 1 species
GGGGUAAUGGCUGCGCCCUGAUGCUGAUAUAUGUUUACUGUGUUUUAUUGUAAAUAUCGUUCGCGUUAGCCGAACUUUUGCAUUACCAUUGUGUUAUGUCUACCUCAAUCCAAGCAGAUGAUAACGAAGGGGUUAGAGAGGAAAGCCUGUUGCUGUUAGGUGCUUCUUCGAAGAAAACCGAAAUUCGUGAAGGUUCCUCAUGGUGGGCAAGUUCGUUUAUCAUCAUUAAUGCUGGGUUAGGAGCAGGGUUGCUCAACUUUGCAGACUCAUAUAAUGAUGCUGGUGGAAUUGUCAUUGCCUUAACCUUACAAACGAUCAUGCUGGUCUUUUGCGUCCUGGCCUUGAUCGUCCUUGCAUACUGUUCGGACGUGGCAUGCUGCAGCACCUAUCAGGAAGUGGUGGAGACGAUGUGUGGCAAGCGUGCUUGGCUGACUUGCUCUCUCCUCAUUGCUGUCUACUGCUUCGGCUGCUGCAUUACCUUUCUGAUAAUCAUUGCCGACCAGAUUGACAAUGUGAUGGCAGACAAUUUCGGGCCUGAUUUCUGUGCGAGAUGGUACCUAUCCCGGCAGUGUACGCUGUCAGUCACCUCCAUUGUCAUAAUAUUGCCUUUAUGCUUUCCGAAAAAAAUAGACUUUUUAAAAUACGUCAGUGCGAUGGGUGUGUUCGCCGUCAUAUAUGUGACUUUCCUAGUCGUAUAUCGAUACUAUACAGGACAGUAUGUACCAGGCCCAAUCAAAACAGAACCAAACUCCUGGCAGGACGUGUUUUUGGUUAUACCAACAAUCUGCUUUUCGUACCAGUGUCACAUAAGUGUUGUACCGGUGUACUCGUGUCUACGAAAGAGGACUUUAACAGAGUUCAGCAAGUCGGUCUGCGUUGCCAUGGUCGCGUGUGUCCUGUGCUACACGUUGACCGCCGUCUAUGGCUAUCUGACUUUCGGAGGCAAUGUUAACGCAGACAUACUCCUGUCGUACGCGCCGAGUGAUACGGCUGCUCUCAUCGCCAUGAUCGCGGUUGCAGCUAAGAUGUACGUCACCUACCCAAUACUCUGUUUCUGUGGCAGAGUGGCUGCAGACAACCUCUAUAUAGAUUGUAAGCAGCUGAGUCCCGCACUAGCUGACCAGGGUGAGAAGACAAGACGAAUACUGAUGACACUAGUCUGGUUCUUCGCAUCACUCCUCCUUGCCGUCUUCAUUCCCGACAUAGGCAGUGUCAUCGGUGUACUGGGAAGCUUUGCGGCAGUCUUUAUAUUUGUGUAUCCAGGUAUGUGCUUCAUGCAGGGAAUGCUCGCGCGAGAUGCCGCGAUCGAGCAAAGACGUAGCAAAGUCGCGCUAAUCUGCACGGUAGGCUUCAUAGCACUCGGCGUGUUCAUAUUCGGCGUAGUCCUGGUGCAGGUGAUCAUGAAGGCUGUAGCGAGUGAGCAUCAGAAGGGACCGAUCAUCAACGGCUCACCCUGCUACUGAAGUAGUAACCUCGCUGUGACCACAAAACAGGUGCCGCAGGCUUACUACUACUACUACUGAGUACUACGUCUAGCGAUGAGUCAGUCGCCACCCAGUCUUUCACAUUUGAUCCAUUUGUCUACCACACCGUCCACACAUACGACAGGCUUAGUACAAAUUGAAUAUAUGCAAAAAUAUUUGUGAAUACAGUUUUAAGCGAUCACAGACUUACACCUUCCCAUGUACAGUCACUAGACAUUGAAACAGAACAGUCGGAUAGGAACAAUGUAGGUAUUAUAAGUAAUUGCCUGCCAGCUGCAUUGCCCUAUGUUUGCUUACUCUGGUGUUUCCCAUCAGUGCCAUAAAUGACCCAGGCACGUAUAAAGUGCUUUCAAAUGUUGGUGUGAUUACCAAAACUCUGAUUAAUAGCUAUAUAAUUAUAUUUACUUCCAACGAAAAAUACAUACAUCGGACUGUCUCUAUAUGUUCAGAAUUCUCAUGUAUAUUCUACAGUACAGUGAUGGUGAUAGGUUCGUAGAUGGUGAAAAUGACUCCUGUCCUAAUUGCACUGUUAAGGACUUGUAGAUCAAGGUAUUGUGUCUAUAAGGCAAUGACAGUGUAUUGUCAUCUUGGUCUAUAUAUGGCUCGUUGUUGUCACAUUGCGUGACAAGAGGGGACAGCCAUCAGGAACUGGUUCUGUAACUUUUGUCUUCUUGUUCAUUUUGACAGGUGUAGUGUCCUCUGACUCUAGAGACAUUACAUUACAAUGCUAGUAGUAAUCAAGAAGAUCAUCCUGGCUUUUUUUACUUUAGCAGUGGGAGGUGUGGGGGGCUGGAAACUGCUCAUUAUGUGUGGUUAUAGAAAAAGGUGUGCUCAGACUCUAUGAGGGAAUAACAUACAGCCAUACAUACAAGUUCAUUCUAAUAAGCAUUCGUUUGUUUAUUUCUCUGCACAGCAGGGUAUCCUGCAAACAAUCAACUUGUGCUCAAACUGUACUGUACUGUUCAAAACCCUCGUUUUGUGUCAAGUCUUAUGUCCAAUAUAUUUUACCAAUACGUAAAAUAUGCUUAACGAGUCAGCCAUCGUACCAUUUACCUUUGUUCAUACAAAAAUGUAGUAUUGAAAAAAAAUAUUAUAUACAGACCUGUAUAUAUCUUUUUGUGUAAAUAAAUGCUUUUUACUUUUUUUAAACUA